GAUGAAGAACGCAGCGAAAUGCGAUAAGUAAUGUGAAUUGCAGAAUUCAGUGAAUCAUCGAAUCUUUGAACGCACAUUGCGCCCGCCAGUAUUCUGGCGGGCAUGCCUGUUCGAGCGUCAUUUCAACCAUCAAGCCCCAGGCUUGUGUUGGGGACCUGCGGCUGCCGCAGGCCCUGAAAACCAGUGGCGGGCUCGCUGUCACACCGGGCGUAGUAGAUUUUAUCUCGCUCAGGGCGUGCUGCGGGUUCCGGCCGUUAAAUAGCCUUUUUUACCCAAGGUUGACCUCGGAUCAGGUAGGAAGACCCGCUGAACUUAAGCAUAUCAAUAAGCGGAGGA
rnacentral:misc_RNA from 1 species